CCCCAGGUCAGGCGGGAUCACCCGCUGAGCUUAAGCAUAUCAAUAG
rnacentral:rRNA from 1 species